rnacentral:lncRNA from 1 species
AUGUUUUAUUCUCUGUCUCUGUCUCUCUGCUCUCUCUCUCUCUGCCUCUCUCUCUCCCCCCCUCUCUCCCACCUCUCUCCACCUCUCUCUCUCUCCCCCCUCUUUACCUCUCUCUCUUUCUCUCUCUCUCUUUCUCUCUCUCUCCUUCUCUCUCCUUCUUUCUCUCUCCCUCUCUCUUUCUCUCCUCUCUCCUUCUUUCUCUCUCUCCCCCCUCUCUCUUUCUCUCCUUCUCUCUCCUUCUUUCUCUCUCUCCUUCUCUCUCUCUCUCUCUCUCUCUCUCUCUCUCUCUCUCUCUCUCUCUCUCUCUCUCUCUCUCUCUCUCUCUCUAUCUCUCUCUCUCUCUCUCUGCUGUCCCCUCUCUCUGUGUCUCUCUCUCAUCCUCACUUCUCUUUCUCUCACAUCGCUGUCACCUGUUAUCUUUUUAUAUUUUAUCAUCUACCAUUAUUCUGCCUGUCAUUUAUCCGUCUAUCUGAUGGAGAGAAAAAUCUUUUUAUUCUGCUGAUAUAUAAUUAGAGAGGAAGAAUGGUGCUUUGGAAAGAGGUGUUGGACUUGGAUUUGCUCAAAGAUUUAGGGCAAAAUAUGCCUCUCAGUAGCCAACUGUUCUAAUCUCCUGUUUUGACAGAUAAAGCAACUAAGGUUCAAGUAAACUAAGUGACUGAAUUGCCUACAGCUAAUAAGAAGCAGAGCCACUCUUAAAAUGCUGGACCAGGGAUUGGAUGUCUUAAAUUCAAAUCUCAGCUCCUUCAUUGACUUACUCUAUUACCUUUUGUAAAUAGCUUCAUUCCUCUAUAAUUUCUCUUUCUAUAGAAUAGAAAUUAUAAUGAUUGAAUUGCCUCCCUCACAAAAUUGUGAGAUUAGUACUAUAUACAACCCUAUAUAAAUUUUAACUAUUUAAAAAUAAUAAUUCAAUACUUGAAGGGACUCCUGUAUAGUUUUUUUCUUCCUGGGGUACAUAUAAAAACUUAGCCACCCCAUUUUAUUAAAUUAUCAAAUUAGCUUUAAAUACAUGAGUGGUAUUUGUUCCGCCUUUGUUGUCCGCCCCCCCCCCCCUUUCUCUAUGUGUGUGUGUCUCUCACUCCUUUCAAAGUAGGAAGAAAGGGGUUUGGAAGUCAUCCUUGGUGGGCAUUGAUUCAUAAGAACAUACUUCAACAGAGAAAAUAAAAAUCCUCAAAGGUAUAGAUGCA